CUCAUUUGCGCUCUGCCAAACACUUGCUAGAUCUGUGUUGUUUAAAUGGUGGUGCCUUUGUUAAGGUUGGUCAGCAUCUGGGCUCCCUGGAGUACUUGCUACCUGUGGAGUAUGUUAAUACCAUGAAGGUCCUGCACUCCAGUGCUCCAAAAUCUCCUCUUGAAGAUGUCUACAAGGUUAUCGAAAAGGAACUCAAAUGUAAGCCUGAAGAAUUAUUUGUGGAAUUUGAGCCAGAGCCUCUAGGUGCAGCCUCUCUGGCACAAGUGCACCGUGCCAAGCUUCACAAUGGGCAAGAGGUGGCUGUUAAGGUGCAACACCC